AAGUUUCCUUAGAAGUGCAGUAUGCAGAUGAUCUGAUGGAUCCAAAAAUGAAUAACUCCAGUGCAUCCUCUAACAAGAAAAGAGAUCAUGGGGACGGAACCGAGUCUGCCAGUUUUCCAUCUAUCCAUAACAAUCCUCAAGACUUGGACUCCAUAUUUGCAUUACUUCAGGAGGACAUUAUAGCAUUUGUGAAGAAUGAACUGCAGAUGAUUCAGAUUGUUUUGAGUCAAGGAAACUCUGACUAUUUAGAGACUCAG